rnacentral:rRNA from 1 species
ACGGCCUAAAGCGUGAUUAAAUUAUAUUAAGAUAAAUAGAAAUAAAAAUUAACUCGACUGUCAUACGUGUAUGUUAAACGGUAAAUCGAAAACGAAAGAUAUUCUAAUAAACAAACUAUUUGAACCCACGAAAGCUAAGAAACAAACUAGGAUUAGAUACCCUACUAUGCUUAACCUUAAACUUUGGAACCAACCCGCCUGAGUACUACGAGCCACAGCUUAAAACUCAAAGGACUUGGCGGUGCUCUACACCCCCCUAGAGGAGCCUGUUCUAUAAUUGAUACCCCCCGCUAAACCUCACCACUUAUUGCCAAUACCGCUUAUAUACCGCCGUCGUCAGCUCACCAUUUGAAUGAAGAAUAGUAAGCAUAAUGACCACCAUAAAAACGUCAGGUCAAGGUGUAGCGAAUUAAGUGGAAAGAAAUGGGCUACAUUUUCUAAACUAGAAAAUACGAAAAAUCUUAUGAAAAACUAUUUAAAGGUGGAUUUAGCAGUAAAAAGAAAAUAGAGUGUUCUUUUUAAAUUAGGCAAUAGAGCGCGCACACACCGCCCGUCACCCUCCUCAGAAAAUCAACUAAUUAUAUAAUAAAAGAAAAUAAAUAGAAGAGGUAAGUCGUAACAUGGUAAGUUUACCGGAAGGUGUACUUGGAUUAU